UAGAAUGGCUCAUUAAAUCAGUUAUCGUUUAUUUGAUAGUACCUUUACCUGGAUAACCGUGGUAAUUCUAGAGCUAAUACAUGCUAAAAAUCCCGACUUCGGAAGGGAUGUAUUUAUUAGAUAAAAAACCAAUGCCCUCCCGGGGCUCCUUGGUGAAUCAUAAUAACUUAACGAAUCGCAUGGCCUUGCGCUGGCGAUGGUUCAUUCAAAUUUCUGCCCUAUCAACUUUCGAUGGUAGGAUAGUGGCCUACCAUGGUCUUAACGGGUAACGGGGGAUUAGGGUUCGAUUCCGGAGAGGGAGCCUGAGAAACGGCUACCACAUCCAAGGAAGGCAGCAGGCGCGCAAAUUACCCAAUCCCGACACGGGGAGGUAGUGACAAUAAAUACUGAUACAGGGCUCUUUCGGGUCUUGUAAUCGGAAUGAGUACAAUCUAAAUCCCUUAACGAGGAACAAUUGGAGGGCAAGUCUGGUGCCAGCAGCCGCGGUAAUUCCAGCUCCAAUAGCGUAUAUUAAAGUUGUUGCCGUUAAAAAGCUCGUAGUUGAACCUUGGUCCUGGCUGAUCUGUCCUCCUAAUCGAGCGCACGGAUUCGGUCGGGACUUUCCUUCUGGGGAGCCCGAUGCCCUUCACUGGGCGUCGUGGGGAACCAGGACUUUUACCUUGAAAAAAUUAGAGUGUUCAAAGCAGGCCUUUGCUCGAAUACAUUAGCAUGGAAUAAUAGAAUAGGACAUCGGUUCUAUUUUGUUGGUUUCUAGGACCGCUGUAAUGAUUAAUAGGGAUAGUCGGGGGCGUCAGUAUUCAAUUGUCAGAGGUGAAAUUCUUGGAUUUAUUGAAGACUAACUACUGCGAAAGCAUUCGCCAAGGAUGUUUUCAUUAAUCAGUGAACGAAAGUUAGGGGAUCGAAGACGAUCAGAUACCGUCGUAGUCUUAACCAUAAACUAUGCCGACUAGGGAUCGGACGGUGGUUUUUUUAUGCCCCGUUCGGCACCUUACGAGAAAUCAAAGUGUUUGGGCUCGGGGGGGAGUAUGGUCGCAAGGCUGAAACUUAAAGRAAUUGACGGAAGGGCACCACAAGGCGUGGAGCCUGCGGCUUAAUUUGACUCAACACGGGGAAACUCACCAGGUCCAGACAUGCUUAGGAUUGACAGAUUGAUAGCUCUUUCUUGAUUGUAUGGGUGGUGGUGCAUGGCCGUUCUUAGUUGGUGGAGUGAUUUGUCUGCUUAAUUGCGAUAACGAACGAGACCUUGACCUGCUAAAUAGCCAGGCUCACUUUUGUGGGCCGCCGGCUUCUUAGAGGGACUUUUGGCUCAAGCCAAUGGAAGUACGAGGCAAUAACAGGUUAACCUUAAAGGUUGCUUACCCUUAUCACAGGCCUGUAACAGCGGGGCGUCGUACUUCUUCGGGCGGGAUCUGGGGGACCGCUAGUCGAGCAUCUUUAUCUCUUUGUGGGAAGUCCACCACUGUCGGGAAGAGGCCAGAGGUCGUGUACCUCUGUUGAUGUCGGCGAGACAACCUGGUUCAGGGAACGCUACACCGCGCGGGUCGAAAGGCCCGCACGGCACGCCGAUCCUGAGGCGAGCUGGAGUACACGCCCAGCCGUCGCAACGCGCGCAAAGGUGUCGGUCUUGCCCGUGCAAGGCUUAAGGUACGUGCUAAUCCCCCAAGAAAUUGGGCCGUGUGCUGGAGGUCCGACAGGCCAAAGGUACGUGGGUCGUCCUCUCCCCCGGAGGGACGCCGGUCGCAAACAAAAAGCUGUGA
rnacentral:rRNA from 1 species